CUUGUAAACUUAUUAUGUAUAGUGUUAAAUACAUUCGAAUAAUGUAAAGAAAGAGUAUAAAUCGUAAUUUAUUUCAUUAUUUUGUGUUGUUCGUACCUGUCAUUUCAAAAAGCUCCUAAUUAUGAGCGUGUGCCGAGAUGCUAGCAGGUGGAGGAAAUUCCUUUGAUUAGCGCCCUUGGAGAGCGGAUUGAGUGUUCACGGUGUUCAAGAUGUUCACGACGUCAUGGUGCUUAUGGUGCUGGUCGAGAGAAACAAAAUAAAUCAACACCCGUUUGAAACACU